rnacentral:rRNA from 1 species
AGAGUUUGAUCCUGGCUCAGGAUGAACGCUAGCGGCAGGCUUAACACAUGCAAGUCGAGGGGCAGCGUGGAGCAGCAAUGCUCUGACGGCGACCGGCGGAAGGGUGCGUAACACGUGAGCGACUUGCCCGUCACAGGGGGAUAACCGGCGGAAACGGCGACUAAUACCCCAUAUGCUGCGAUGCUGCAUGGCAUUGCAAUGAAAGAUUCAUCGGUGGCGGAUAGGCUCGCGGGACAUUAGCUAGACGGCGGGGCAACGGCCCACCGUGGCGACGAUGUCUAGGGGUUCUGAGAGGAAGACCCCCCACACUGGGACUGAGACACGGCCCAGACUCCUACGGGAGGCAGCAGUGAGGAAUAUUGGUCAAUGGGCGGAAGCCUGAACCAGCCAUGCCGCGUGCGGGAAGGAGGCCCUAUGGGCUGUGAACCGCUUUUGCCUGGGGGCAAUAAGGGCGUCGCGCACGUCCGAUGAGAGUACCAGGGGAAUAAGCAUCGGCUAACUCCGUGCCAGCAGCCGCGGUAAUACGGGGGAUGCGAGCGUUAUCCGGAUUCAUUGGGUUUAAAGGGUGCGUAGGCGGCCGAGUAAGUCAGCGGUGAAAGACCGGGGCUCAACCCUGGAAGUGCCGUUGAUACUGUUUGGCUGGAAUGAUCCCGCCGCGGGAGGAAUGAGUGGUGUAGCGGUGAAAUGCAUAGAUAUCACUCAGAACACCGAUUGCGAAGGCAUCUCGCGAGGGGUCAAUUGACGCUGAGGCACGAAAGCGUGGGGAUCGAACAGGAUUAGAUACCCUGGUAGUCCACGCAGUAAACGAUGAUGGCUAACUGUCGGGCCUGCGGGUUCGGCGGCCAAGCGAAAGCGAUAAGCCAUCCACCUGGGGAGUACGACCGCAAGGUUGAAACUCAAAGGAAUUGACGGGGGCC